CUUCAAGUUGAGAAGAUAUUCAAGCAGAAGUUUAGUGUUAGGAAUGAUGAAAAGUUAUUAAAGGUUUCUCAAUCCUAUUUUAUCAACUACAGCUGGUCUAAUAGUAGGCCUUCUCUUCAUCUCUACCGAUAAGAUUGCUUUCUGCAGUGAGAUUAAUAAAGCUCAUAUCUCCAACAAGAAAGUUGCUUAGAAUCUACUACAAGGUAUCGAUCCCAAUAAGGAAGAUAAUGAAAGCAAAAGAAAGUGAAAAUAGGGAAAAGCCACCACAGAAGAUGAUUUUGAGUUCUGGUUUAUGGGAUUCCUUAAGUAUAUACAAGUACUUAUAGAAGAAGAUAAUUUUUUCUUUUUUUAUUUCAUUUUGUUUCCUAAUAAGCCCAUUCAUCAAUGUAAUAUGUUGAUUCAAAAAUGAAUGUACAGAUCUUUUCGAACUUGUAAUUAGCUCCAUUGCUCAAAGGAAGCUUUAGGCUUUGAGCUGUAGCUGUCAACACAAAUGUAUAAACUUAUUGUAAAACUAAUGCAGUCAGAAGGCUAAUUCACCUUC